GCAAAGGGCACUCCCUUUGUACCUGCUUCUACUCUGGGCACUUCUAAUAUUUACCUGCUCCUCAUAUACCACAGACAGAUGAAUCUGCCCACUUCUAUUUACCGCUGUAUCACUGACUCCUCUUUGGUCAAGAGCUUUUCCUAUGCACCGAUGACACAAUGAAGUAGAAAAUGGAAGUCAAGACACUGCUAUGUGUUCGUCUGUUGUGCAAGAUCUAAGUGUGGCUGCAAUUUUGAGCAAAGCAUCGGUUUUAAACAAUGUUUAAACUGACACUAUUAUUAUGCAAUAUAAUUAAUUAUAGCUAGAAGGGCAUUUGAGGUUAUUUGGCACUACCUUUGUCCAUUUCAUAAUUAUACCAAGAGAAUGACUAAGUUGUGCCUAGGCUAAUUGUACCCAUUUGGUUUUAUCCCUCCUCUCUGCCAUCCUAAGUCACUUGCAUCCUGAUCUGGGAGUUUUUUGGAGGAGUUUGGAUGUGUUUGUGCCAAACACAAUGGAGCCCAGGCUGGCUAGGCAGCCUCAGGACGUGUUUGCGUAGCCAGAAGAUAAAGCUUCGUGGCAUGACGUGAUGUCCUCCAGAUGUACUGGGAAGCCCUGCACACACCUCCAGAGAGCAGCUGAAGAGCAGCAGCAGAUGGCCACGGCAGCAUGCAACGCACCAGCCCCGCUGCCCUAUGUAUCAUGGGGGCUCAGUGUUCAAGGGAUGCACAGUGCAGCUCAGAAGCCUGGGCUGAUGGGGCUGGAUGCUGCAGCGCAGACAUGGCACCGUGAAACCUCUGUGCCCCAGGGCCUGCAGUUUGCUGCCGGUGUUAGGGCCGUGGUGAGGAUGGCAGCUCACCCAGCCUCUGGAGCCAGGCUGGCUGCCUGACAGCCCGGCCACAAGUGCUGUGCCAUAUUGGAGCUCAGCAGCUGCCCCAAGCUGGCGGGCUGUGCGCCAGCCAGACGAGCUGCCCAGAGGUAGCGGUGAGUAAGGCAUCACUUCUGAACGUGACUUGGCAGUGUCAGGAUUAAAACCAAAGAGCCAACAAAAGCAAAAAUAAAAAUAAUUUAAAAAAAUAAAAACAAAACCUAACAAUGAUAACAGUGAUUUCUCCAGAAAAGAAUCAGGUUGAGAAAUGGUCUUACCUUAAGAAAAGGCUCACUGUGGCCUUCCAGAAGGGAGCUCACAAGCAGGAGGGGCACAGGGCAAAGGGGAAUGGUUUAUACUAAAAGAGAGGAGAUUUAGGUUAGGUGUUAGGAAGAAAAUCUUUACUCAGAUGGUGGUGAGGCACUGGCACAGACUGCCUGGAGAAGCUGUGUAUAUCCCAUCACUGGAAGCAUUCAGUGCCAGGUUGGAUGGGGCCCUGGGCAGCCAAAUCUGGUGGGUGGCAGCUUUACCCAUGCCCAGUGGGUUGGAACUAGAUGAUCUUUAAGGUCUCCCCCAACCUAAGCCAUCCUAUGAUUCUAUGACUGUUCAGCUACAAUGAAAGGCUAUAGUCUUCAGCUGGUGGCUGGACACUGGAUUGCACUCAUAAAAUAGAACUGCCUGCAAGGGCUGAAUGCCAUAAUUAACAGGCAUUUUUUAGAAAUUAUUGGUUAAUGUAAUAGAAAUACUGCCAACUGUUGUUGUUAAAACCUAAGUUUGUUCCUUUGGUGGUAAUGCAUAAUGACUCAACACUGCUUCAAUGGGAAGAUACCUUUGUCUGUUACAUAUUGCUACCUUCAUUUGUACAAUGGUUUAUAUGGCAAAUAAUACAAAUUCUGAAACUUAAAGACAGCUUCAGGAAGUAAUCAGAGUGCCACCCGUGUCCUGGGCGAUCACAGUACUGGCAGUACAACAAGGCCUUUUUAUCAUAUCAUGGCAUUAAUGAUCCAAUCCCACUCCCACGGCAGGCAAUGUGGCCUUUAUCACCAAUGCUGUUUAAGCAGGACUAAGCUUAAAGGGUUCUAGAACAGGGAAAGAUGCUAAUCUAAGUUUCACAUCCAUCUGGUACAUUUCUCAUGCAGGUUAUACAUGACCACCUAGAGAACUACUGCACAUUUUUAGUAACAAACUCUAUGAGCCCUACCAGGGAAUACAGGUUGUCCUCAGAUAAUGGGAUCUACUCAUAUGAUGCAGAUGUCUUAUCACCUAAGAACAUUUUCACAAUAUUACAAUAGCGACCGAAAGGUUAUUUCUCAAACCCUGUCUGUCACCCAGUAGGUACCAGCUGAAAAGUUUCUGUUUGAUUGCUAAAGAGUAGAAAGCAAUGAACACACAUUGGCAAAUCUUAGAUCAGGCAUGAUGUGGAUGUUGCACACCUCAGACUAACGCCCACCUUCACUUCAGGGAAAGGAGAAACCAGACCUGCAGACACACUAAUCGCUCCUGCUCUCAGAGUUCCCACUCACCUGGUUGGAAAUGAACUGCAGAACCUUGCUGCUUUCUAUUUACUGCACUGAGAGCCAGUGAUUUCUGAGUACUUCCAGUCAUCAACUGCAUGGCUAUUGCAGCAUUUUAUGAUGUAAAAUCCUCCUAAUGUACGAAUUAAAAAAAUAUAUAUGCAGUCUGUGCUGAGAUUGACAAUUCUGAUACAAGAGGGGGAGGUGAAGUCCAAUCUCUGCUCAGCUGGGAGGAACGCAAAGGUGAUGACACACCACUUAGUUUUGGGACAGCUUGGAGGUGUGGGUGUACGACCCACCAAAGCGGGGUCACUUCACCCAAAGGAGGGCAAGCAGCAGAACUGGGCUGUCAUGCACAAGACUCAAACCAUCAGACUGUGCCAGAGUCAAAAUGAGAGCUCCCAGAGCCUGGUUUCCAGCUGCACCCACUGCUGAGCAGAGACUGUGCAUCCCCAUCAAGUGCAGGAGGUCAUGUCCUUCAGCUGCUUCUAAGGGAAGGCGCUUCAGAGCACACAGGCACACUCAGCAACGCUGGUGGUGGACACAUGCAGACGUGGCCGAGGAAAGCUAAACAGGAUGCAUCAGCACCAAAGGGAUCUGGGCAGCCCAUCCCACUGGCUUUCAGUAGCACUGAAUAUGACGGGCUCUUGGACAAACCUGUGGAUCCCAGCCUGCCAUGUGACACUGCUAAGUGACUCUUGUCAGUAGAGCGUAGCAACUUGACUUAUUCCCUUCUGCAGAGCACACACUGGCCUGUGUACUGUCCAGGGGAGAAGCAGAGCCUCGCAAUUGGAAGGCGGGCACCAAAAGACACACGUGGGGCUGGAAGCUGGACAGUCCCAGCACCCAGGUCAGAAAUAAAACUGCUUUUACAGCAAGGAUUUCAGUAUAUGGUCUGGCUGUUGCUGACCUUGUCUGAGAACCUCUGUCAGCAGUGUGCCCAAUAGCUGACACGCUGCAGGCCUCUAUCAGAUGACAUUGCUAUUACAGUGCCUGCAGAGGUGGGGAAGUUCAUAUGUUAACAAACAAUACUGAGUGAAUUGAUUCCUCCUGCCUGCAUUGCCGUUGCUGUUCCACUCCCUCCACAAAACUAGGCUUUAGGAUACAGUUUAUUCCCUUUUCCAUGUAUCACUGUAACUGCAGUACUGUUGUAGACCAGCUAGAAGAAGUGGAGUUGUGAAUUCACCUUCUCUUUGGAAAUGUUACUCCAUCCACCCACACCUCUUUCUUCUUUGCUAACUCCAGUCAUCCAUCCCCAGGACCUACACCCACACUGAUCCCAACUCACUGAUGAACAUACAUGGAAAAAGGCCUUGCUAAAUAGAUUGCAGCUCCUGUCCCAUAGCUGUGUUUAUAGGAUCAUUGGAUACUAAAUCUAAUACAUAAAUGAGAACCCACUGGUUGAGUAAGGUCUCUGGAUUUAGUGCUCGCUCCAUGAAACAGGUUACUCAGCACAGCAGCUCCGGGUGCCCCAGGACACAGGGCUCAGCCAAGUGGAGGCCUGACCCCAAAGAGACUAACUCUGAUGCUGUUUGGGAACUUCUCCCCAUAGUGACAGGACACUCAGAACCUGAGUGAGGAGACACCUGAACCAUUCAGGAGGACUCCAGCUUCCACCCAACAGAGGUCCCAUCAGCCAAGCUGCCAAAGGUGCCCUGGAGUCCCAUCCCUCUCUCCCAGGGAAAGCCCUGCAACGCUGGGGCCCUAUGAGCUUGGGCUCAUUUCAUUUAAGUCUUCCCACUUUAUAGCAACAAUGUCCUGAAAAGAUUGGAGGAUGCAGAACAAACAGAAACUCAGCAUGGCACAGCGAUGCAAAAAAAGGUUCCAAAAGGUCAAGACAGGGAGAAGUGGAUGAACUCUGGUAUUUUAACAGCUCGGCAUUGAUGCCAUAAAUUAAAAGGAAGUGUGCUGGAUGUUUUAUUUUCUGUGUGUGGUAAACUGUACAGUUAGAGUCUGAAUAAACCUCUUUUGUCAAUUUUACUACCUUUCUGAUAUAAAAAUAAAUAAACUUAAACAAAGAAGAAGUGGAGACCUGCCAAGCCAGCCUACUUUGGUAAGAACUGCACUGACAAGGGAGCAAUUGUGUCUUAAAGCUGAGGGGCUGAAACGAUCAGCUUUUGGGGGCUGGCAAAGCCCUUCUGGAAGGGAGCUGCUCUGUAUGCAGGAGGAGCUACAGGAGAAGGAAAAAAAAAAAGGACACUCAUCUAAAAGGCAACAAAAGAACAUCAUUAAAAUUUCUGCUACCAGAACUGCUUCCCUGUUUGAUGGGAAGGCUGCAGGUAAAUAGCUGCUGCAAAAUAUACCAGGGUAACAGCACCUAGGAGCAUUUUAAUGGUGAUAUAAAAUUCACAAGUAAAUGAUAUAAUGUACUAAGUAACUUAUUAGGCUGAAUAUAAAACAAAGGUAUCAAGAAUGAUGGUUUUACUCUGCAGUGAAUCUCAGCAAUGAGUUCUAGGCUUACCAGUCCAAUGCCAAGCAUGAGAACUUCCAGUAGGCAGCAACACGUAAUUACCGCUGGGUGGAGGUGAAUCAACCACUUUCCGUCAUGAAGCCAAUGAGGGACCCUCAGACAAUCUGCCAAAGGUGGGUGGGUGAAUGAGUGUUACUUUCCUGCUAGGCUCCCAUCAGGGCACCACACCUUGUGAUAUUAUCUCUGUAAUAACCAAACAACUUUAAAUGAUAUUGUGUCACUGCAAAUGAAGCAGGAGGGUGACCCAGCAAGUCAGAUUUCAUUAGUGCAUGAGGGACUGCACUCCAGCAUGCAGCUACACACACACACACACACCUUCAGACCCUGGAAACCUCAGCCUGCAAUGCAGAGCAAUCUAAACUUUAGCCAUACAUGCCUGAGAUUGUGUCUCCUCCAUGAGAGAUGCACAUGGACUUGCACAUGCAUAGCAGGCUUAUCACUACACCCAUGUCCUAUUUGCUUUUCUGUGUGUCACUGUUGAAAGUUUUCUAAUGCGCUAGGUAAGAAGAUUGCAAAUGAAGCAGAACUUCAACUGCUCAAUCGCAUUAAUACGGGUACAGUAAAAGAUGACAGGAUUACAUACAGUUCGUCUAAUUAGCAAGCCAUGUGCAGCAUUGCCUGCCCAAGUGUUCAUGCACUCAGGCUCGUUGCCUCCCACCACUGCACCUUUCCUGCCGCUUUCCUCAACUGCAAUUGCCUGCUCUAGUUCCAGUCACAGGGGACGUAUCUGGUCUGCCAUAACUUUCCAGCUGUGAACACACCAGUGACUCCUGCCAGCCCUCCACUGUUCUGACUAGCAUCUCCAAGAGCUUUCCAGGCAGAAGGAGUGAUUCAGAAGACUUUGGAGAUGUCGCACUGGCUGGGAGCAAGUGCUGUUGUCUGCCACAAGGAGAGAGCUUCAAGCCAUCCAAGGGCAUGCCAUAUUGGUUCACAAGGGCCUGAACUACAAUAGUUAGAUAAGUUUGAUGACAGAAAGUAAGAAAGAAAACGACUGGAAAGUCACCAGGUCAGACUGUGGGGCCAGAGCAGGAAAAAGGCUUUGCCAAAGUCAUACCUAGUGAAACUCAACCGUCUUCUGUGAAUUCAACCUCCUAUAGGCCAUUGUGCUAAUGUGUAUUUUGGCAAGUGCCUGACCCUUCCUGUUGACUGAAAUACUCAUGCUCUCUAGAAAUGACUAGGCCUGCACUCAACUCUCCAAGCAGCUAACCUUACCCCUUCUUCUUUCUUAUUUCUUCCUCUUGCAAAACCAGUCAAAUCCCUGCUGGGUGCCAGGAUCAGACAAUACCAUACUUCUGCCAUCUGUUGGUCUGGUUCCUCCUCGUUUCCUGUUUCUUCCCUCUAAGACUGCCUUAUGGUAACACAAAAGCCAUGGCAACAACAGUAGGAAGGUCACUCUUGGUGGCCAGGCUGGGAAGAAAGGGACUCCCAGCAGAGGAGAAGUAGGUGUGCCCUGGUUAGGUUGCUUCUGAAUUUGACCUGCUUAGCCACUCCCUACCAAAAAUCUCCUCAACCAGCACAUCAGGCUCAUGCUGUAGGUGUCACAAACUCCACACGUGUAAUCAACUGGCUUCUUCUGAAAGGGAUUAGCCUAAGCAUUAGGAAAGAACUAGGUGUCAUUUUUAAGGUAUCAGUACAUUUUUUGGGGGUAAUAUUCCCAAGCAAGUCCAUUUGGAAGCCAUUUCCAAACACAUGGACAAGAAUGCAACUGAGAACAGGCAGUGUGGAUUUACUAAGGUCAAAGUGUACCUGGCCAACAUGGUUGUCUUCUGUGCUGGAAUGACGUACUGGAUGAACAAGGUUAGGGAUGCUGUGGAUGUCACUUACCUCGGUUUUAGCACAGCCUGUAACACUGUCUCCUGUUCAAAGCAAACUGGGGUGGUACAGACUUGAUGGAUGGCCCACAGCAUACCUGGAAAAAGUACGUGAAGCUCAAAAGGCAGUAAUGGUCAACAGCUAGACUUUUAAUUAAUUGGCAUUAAGAAAUGGCAUUCUUCAAGGGACAACACUAGGGCCUGUCUUCACCAGCAUCCUGGAUGAAAGGCUGCAACGCACGUUCUGCAUGUUUGCGCAUGACGCUGUGUUCAGGGUGUAGAUCAUUAUGCUGGAGGACAGGACAGCCAUUCACAUAUUCUUCAGCAGCCUCAAAGACCAAUCUUACAGAAAUCUCCUCAAAUAUACCAAAGAGACAGACAAAAUCUGCACGCGAUACAGAAUUAAUCUGAGCAACAGCAGAGGAUGGGAGCUGAGUGGCUAGCAAGGAGCUUCACUGAAAAAAGCACCUGGGGUCCCAGUGGACAAAAUGCUCAUCAUGAGUCAGCUGUGAGGCUGUGCAGUGGUGACAGCCAAUUGCACCCUCACUGCACAGGAGGUAACGGAACCAGAUGCUCAUCAGCAGUGCACAGUGCAAGGGCAAUGACCGCAAGCUGUAGUAGGAGAAAUUCCACUGAAUGUAACUGGAGAAACGCUUCAAAAUGAAAGCUGACAUGCAUUGAAACGGGUGCCCAAAGAGGUUUGUGAAAUCUCCACCUUCCAACAUUGAACAGCAAAGCCCUAAGUAGCCUAAGCUCAUGCUGAAGUCAGCCCCCUUUGAGGAGGUUGGCUGCAGCCCUCUAGAUGCUCUUUCCAACCACAAUUAUUUGAUGAUUUUUAAUUUUUUUUAAACAGCUGUUCGUCUGGGAGACCUGGCUGGAGUUGGUUACAGAUUCCUCGAAAAGAACGAAGCUGUUAUCUCCACAGCAUCACCUGCCAGUUAUUGCUUAUUUGUAAUAUGAAUGAAUUCAGUGCAUACAUCACAAGUCCAGACAGUCAAGAGACUUCAGUUCUGAGAUUUUAUCUUCGAGGAUCAAAGAACUGAACUUUCUCUCUCUGAUCUUCAACCUGAGCAAAAAAAAAGAGGUCUGUCUUUAAUGCACUGUCAAAACCUCCCCACUUCAGAGGCAGCAUGAGAAAGACUGUUUCUGGGCUUUAUUUUGGAUUUAUGCAGCUCUCACGCGUUCUUGUGGUGACAACUGGACAUGUUGUGAGACUUCCUAAUAAAACAAUUGUUUCGGCCUGAAAUGUUGUAGAAGCAGUGUAUAACAUAUGGCCUCCAAAUGCAACACCUACUUCAGCAUCUGCACCCUACCAUAUAUACACGUACAUUUAUAUACAGCAGUCCAGGCUGCCAAAGGCUCAGAAGAUCUGCUAGCUACCAUGAAAAAUGGCUGCUGGCUCUUAGCAGAACCACACUGCAAAUGUGGGGUGUGGAUCCACAAGGCUGUGCCUUCCAGCAGCAAGGGCUGCAGUGCCAGGUGUGCCGGCACACCAGGAGAAGCUAAGGACAGAGGACUCCCCAAAAGGCACUGGUGUGCAAGGGCAUUUUUACCUCCCAGGCUGAGCAGAGACACAGGUCCCCAGCGAGUCGCAGCCCCAGAUGCCCCCUGAAAAACCGCAGCUGACCCAGGCACUCUGCAAGCCUGCGGUCAGAACCACAGUGGACACCCAGAGAAAGUAACAGACUUAGCUCUAAUCCCUGCACCAGUUGGUCUCGCAGACCCCGACACAGAACCCGGGCUGAGAAGCAAAAAAUAAAUAAAUAAAAGUAAAAACCCGUAUGUAUUUGAAAGCAUGUCCAGAAACAAACAAGCAAAACCUCUUAUCCAAACAAAUCAUAGUUAGAUCUUGGGUGAGACCAUGUUUAUGAAGGUUUAGCCAAGGAGCUUGCUUGGAGAUACCUCUCCAGCCUUAGCAUAACACAACCAGCCUGGACAAGUGCUACUAGAAAACACUUCAUUAAAACGCUGUUGUGGUAUUUAUUUAUAGGUAGCAAUUUAUAUCACACCCAUCGUACACACCAAUCCGGCAGCUAUGAUUGUCAAAUCAAACUGCUUCUUCCACAACACCCCCUGCCCCCAGCCCACCUCCCGCUGCCACUCUCUUAGCAAAACAACCGUUUCCCACCUGACACGGCUGUCCCUCUGAAUAUAAGCCUUUGUUUGAACUUACUGAGCCCUACGUGUUCCAAACACAGGUGGGCAUCAAAGAUGCAACAGCCUCAUCAAGAGCCAGGCACACAUCUGUGGUGCUCUGCAUUCUAUUCUGUGAUUCUAUACAACCAGUGACCACUGCAGAGCUCUCCCCAGGAGACAGCUGGCAGCUGCGUUCUGCAUCUGCUGGAGAAUCCAAGUGGCUCUGGACGUAUCAAGGAUAAUACCAGAGAAGCUUCUCUGCGUGUUGUGGACACUGGUGGAAAAGGCAGUGUGAUAAAACACCUUACAAGAAAGCCCUGGGUGUGUCUUCAGUGAGGGGAAGGAAAAAAAAAAGAAAAGAAAGGAAGAAAAAAAGGACUGGCAAAAAAAGAGGUUAGAUGAGGUAGCUGGGACUGCCGGGGGCAAUCUGAAAUCAGUUUACAUUAGAGCAGGUUGCUCUUGAUUUUGCUACAGCAGUUGUCACGCUUGGUAAGAAUAACAAGCUAUUCAUACGGCAGCCACCAUUGUGCAGCUCAGCACAUGCAGCCUAGUGGAAAGAAAUCCAAGCAAAUGCAGUGACUAGGAUAGGACAGUAAAAAGAAAUGGUUAUGUAAAUAAGUUUCGACUUCAGAAAUCCGCGAGAACAAUUGUUUCCCUGUAAGAGGGCUUCGUCACUGGAGCACGUGAGGCUUUAUCCUACAUCUGCACUUCGAAAAGCCCACAUAUACAGCCCGCUGCAGCUCCCAGGUUCUUCCCACCGUCUGUCCCUUUCAAUCUCCAGCUUUUUUUUUUUUUAAUACUCUCAAGUUCUUCAGCUAUCUAGAGUUCCACCUUCAUGCAUGCCCAGAACUGCCCCAGUCUUGACAGGGCCAAGCAGCUCAGCCCAUUUCACACCUAACUCUGAUCAGGAUCCAGAAACUGGGCGUUGCUUUGCCUGAACCCCCUGAGGGCUUUCAUUGGGGAUUAUAUGUUACCUGGUGACUGUUCCAUGUAAAAUGCAUAAACAGUCCUGGGAGCAGAGUCCAGACUCUCAAACUCCCAUGUGAAUGCUCAAACCAGUAGGAAAGACAGCCACGCUCCCUCGCAUGCACUUGCUUUGUGGCCCAGUGAUUCAACAGCACACUGCUGAGUGCAGGCAAGCAGCGCCGAGCUCCCCAGUGCGUUGUCUGGAUGCUCUGCAAGAGGUGGACGGUGGGAAUGAUGACCCUGAGGACCACAGCGACCCAGUUGGUCACCUUCUGGCUGCCAGCAAUCAAUGUUUCAGAUUAAAUAUGUUUGCUGUGACAGAAAGGCUGGCUGUACUCACCUUGCAGAGGAGCUGUUGGGAUGGGUGUCUGCAGACUUAAAAACUUCAGGUUUUCCUAUUAGUAUCCUGGGUAUAACUUCAAAAGCUUCUAUCUGCAAAUGGUUACACCAGGUAGGUGCUCAGCCUGGGCACUCAGGUCUUGGAGCAUCAAAUGAGGAGGUUGGUGAAGUAGCACACGCUAAGGCAUAAAUGCCAUUGGGAAAAUCUGUGCUGAUACUACUGCUUCAGAAGCAAAGUCC
ensembl:lncRNA